rnacentral:lncRNA from 1 species
GGGCAGCAGUGAGGUUGGGGCAAGGUGGGUUCUUUUCGGGUGCACCUAUGAGGCCACAGUGUUGCUGCUGCCCAGUUAGGCAAACAGGACUUGCGCCAGUGUUGGCACGGCAGAUCCAGGGCCCCACCUCACUGCUGGAGGGUUCUGUUGAUGUUUGGCAAUCAGAUCCCAUUGAUUUCAUGUGCUGAAAUUAAAUAGGUGUAGUGCUUCAGCAGGGACGCGGGUGGCGCUGUGGUCGAAAUCACUGAGCCUAGGACUUGCCGAUAAGAAGGUUGGCAGUUCGAAUCCCUGCGAUGGGGUGAGUUCCAUUGUUCAGUCCCAGCUCCUGCCAACCUAGCAGUCUGAAAGGAGGUCAAAGUGCAAGUAGAUCAAUAGGUACCGCUCCGGCGGGAAGGUAAACGGCGUUUCCGUGCGCUGCUCUGGUUCGCCAAAAGCAGCUUAGUCAUGCUGGCCACAUGACCCGGAAAGCUGUCUGCGGACAAACGCCGGCUCCCUUGGCCUAUAGAGCGAGAUGAGCGUGCUACCCUGGAGUUGUCCGCGACUGGACCUAACGGUCAGGGGUACCUUUUAGUGCAUCAGCACUAGUUUCUUGUGUAUUAACACUUGUACACUAAGCACUUUGUAUACUGAGAUUUGAUACUACAAAUAUUUGUUAUGGCAUUGAGACCAAGAAAGAUCCGUGCUCUUAAUCCACUACAGAACUUUUAAAGACCAAAAGAAUGAUAUUUUUUACAGACCUGUAUCCUUGAUAAGGAGCCCAUUUUAUCUUUGGUUGCGUCUUGAGUGAGUUAAGAACUUAAUAAAUAGUUAGUGGGUGCUCCAUUACACGUGGAAACAAUGCAUUACCAUGUAAGUAAAAAAACCCAACAGCUUCUGGAUUAUAGCAUCACUAAGAAAUGGAACCCAAUCUUAGGCAAUGUAUGCCGAAAGGUUUGGGCUUCAUUUUCAGGGCUCUCCUUAAAUUCUGCGAGAGAAAUCGUGUCCGCUUCACAGAGGUUGCGGUGAGAUCACUAAGACCGACCUCACUGUUUGUGUGGGUAGGAGUGAUUAGAUAGCCAUAACAACCUGAUUGGGUCCCUCGGUUGCUGGGGUAAUUCUGGCCAAUGGGUUGAGAGAAUUUGCAGCCGGGGGACCUAUUUAUACCGCUGCACGUUGCGUCGAGCUUCCUCUUAGCCCUUCAUGCAUCGGAUCACCCGCCCACCCUCCCUGUAUGUAGGGUCUUGCCAUGACCUUGCUAUGCCGUUGUGGGUCGUCUGCUUUUGGAGCAGGGGCCUGGUAGGAAUUUUCCCAUUCGGCUGAUUGGCUGGUGCCACUUGGGUUUCGCCUGCCGCGUAGCAAAUCGUCACAACUUUGUACGGUUUGGCGGUUAAGCAUUGGUUCAAGGUGUGGUGGAGGGGAGGUUGUCACACCUCUCAAUGUGUGAUAGGGUAUUCCGUUAAAGGAAUCUAGGUGCUCGCCAUGCUUUUGUCCGAUCCCCUUCCAGGGGUUAGGGCCACGCCAGGGCACCUGGGAGCAUUUUGGGGUGAGGUUGCGUCUGUGGUAGGACCAAUGCGCCCCCAGUAUGUUUACUCUUACUGACUUCUGCUGUUGUCAGUGCUGCCCUGCUGGACCAAGUCGAACCAAUGCCUUAAGCAAACCACUCACAUUCUGUAAUCAAUAAAAUUGUGGCCUAAAUUAGGCCAAUAACCUUAAACCAGGCAUCCCCAAACUCAAUUCCCAUCGCCCCUGACCACUGGCCCUGUUAGCUAGGGAUGAUGGAAGUUGUAGUCCCAAAACAUCUGGAGGGUCGAGUUUGGGGGUGCCUGCCUUAAACUAAUAUUGGUGUCAACUGUGUCUUUCUUUGGGAGGUCUUGGGGGUCUUCACACGCAAAGUAAACAGAUUUCAACCAUCAAAACUAAAAGUGGCACAGCCUCCUCCCUUGAAGAGUGUGGGUUUGGGUUGUAGCCAACUAAGUUCUAGUCAGAGUAGACUCAUUGUAAUGGACCUUUUAGUUGUGGCCAUUAAUUUAAAUGGGUCCACUUGGAGUAGGAUUAACAUUGGAGACAAUCCACUUAUAUCUCCAGGGACAGACGACAUGUUUCUUCUGCUAGCCUAGUGCCGUUUGCUCCUGAUUAUAUUCCUUAUAUUCCCCAGAUAAGUCCAUGGCUGCUAUUCUCUCUUUUGAGAAAAAGUAACCACCACCACAAUUUUGUUGUGCGGUCAGUGUAUACCCUUGACAAUCAAUGCUUUUGUCUUCACCAAGAUGUAAUUGUCAAUCACAUUGACAGGUGUUUUGCUGAAAGAGGGUCUUCAAAGAUUAUAGUCACAUUUUUACUUUUUGAAAUACCGAAACCCUAAGAAACUUACCUUAUUUUUCCGUGUAUAAGACGCCCCCAUGUAUAAGACAACCCCUGUUUUUUGAGCCCAAAAUUAAGAUAUAAAUAAUUUCAACGUUCCAUGUAUAAGACAACCUCCAAUUUUAAACUUAAAAAAAUAUUUUGGGGGGGAAUACAGUCUUAUACAUGGAAAAAUGCAGUAAUUUGGAAUUUUAUUUUAUUUUUUCUGCUUUUUAAAAUAAAGAAAUAGUUCUGUGUUUUAAAAGGACAGAUAUGUGACUUUUACGUAUAGGAAAGCUAGUGGACUUUCCCAUAAAAUUGGGAAAUGAAGAACACUGAUUUUAACGCUAUGUCUUAAAAUGCCAUUAGUAUUGUGAAAGGGUUUGUUCCGAAUUGUCACAGUGGUUGGAAAAUAACUUAAAAAUCAUAGCCUGUAAGUAAAACAGAAAGCAACCAGCUAUAUUGAUGUUGUUCUCAGUUGUCAAGUAGCAGUUUAGAGGAAAAAGAAAUGUUGUUUCAGGACAGAGUUGUAGUUUACUUAUGCUUUGUGGUGGUUGCAGCAUGUAUGUAUUUGUGGUGAUAACUUUAUAUAUCUGCAUAUAUCCAGUUCUUCAACUUGCUCUGAAGAAAACAAGUAGGCUCUGGUAAACAAGUGAAUGCUUGAGUUCUUUAUAAUUAAGUAUUAAUUUCUUUCUGGGCUACGUAUGAUGUGGAAGGGGCUGGUGUAAAUAAAUCUUGGUUCUCUAGGUAGCUACCCUCCAAACACAGUGGUACCUCACGAGACGAAUGCCUUGCAAGACGAAAAACUCGCAAGACAAAAGAGUUUUUCGUUUUUCGAGUUGCUUCGCAAGAAGAAUUUCCCUAUGGGCUUGCUUUGCAAGCCGAAAAACGAAAACGUCUUGCAAGUUUGUUUUGAUUGCAAUGAUUUUCAGUGCAUUCCUAUGGGAAACCGUGCUUUGCAAGACGAAAAAUUCGCAAGACGAAAAAACUCGCAGAACGAAUUAAUUUCGUCUUGCGAGGCACCACUGCAGUUUAAGUAAAUCACCAUACAUUUAUUUAAAUGAAAAUUUGCACAAUGGAGUGUAAAUUUCUGCUGCAAAGGCCCCAUAUGCACGGCUUCGUGGCGGUGAGGGGAAGCAGUCCAGGCUGAGGGGACAUUUUGCCUGAGGUGAUGCCUGCAGGCCUUCCUAUCGAAAGGCUCUUGCAGGUAAAAACCAGCUGACUAAGAGUCGAAGAUAAGGACAAAUAUUCCCAAGUCACUCUCUGUUGUCAGGGUCAAAUAACUGCACUAAUUUGUCAGUUGAAAAGCAACUGUUGUUCACAUAAAUUUUUUUUGCCUCUGAACUUUGAAUUAAUUAUAUGGAAGAUUACUUGUACUCAAUUCCCCUAGAACAGAUAUUUGCGGUGGGAAAAACUGUCAAACCUCGGUUGUUGAAUCCAUUCCGUAAGCCCGUUCGGCUUCUGAAACGUUCCACAACCGAAUCACGGCUUCCGAUGGGCUGCAAGAACUUCUUGCAUUCAAGCGGAAGCUGCGUCAAAUGUUUGGCUUCCGAAAAACGUUCAAAAACCGGAACACUUACUUCCGGGUUUUCAGUGUUCGGGAGCCGAAAUGUACUAUAACGGAGGCGUUCAGGAACUGAGGUUUGACUGUAGCAGUUUAAGCUUUUGUUGCACGUGUGCAAUGUAGUAUGCUGAUUUCUUAUAUAAUUUGGAUGGGUACUCAACUAUGUUUUACACAGAGUAAAUCCAAUGAAAGGAAUGAACAUGGUUAAGUUUGGUCUAUUAAUUCCAGCAGCUCCACUCUGCAUUAAAUAUCACCCUAGUUUAUAAUAGUAGAAUAAUAACAACUACUACAAAAUAAUAACAACAACAACAUUAUAAGAGUAAAAAGACAGUAACAGCAGUCAGAUCCUUAUUGGAAACGAUAUUCUGAAAGUCUGCUGAAAUGAAACCGUAUAGUUUUGUCAACGUUAAACAUAUUGCUUUGCAGUUACUCCAGUCCUUUAAAGACAUUGUGCACCUGGUUAGCUUUAAACAUGAGUCUCAUCAAUUAGUCUAUUAAAAAACGGAAACAGUAUUUGCUCCUUAAGACAGAUAUAGUACAGAUAAAAAAUGGAAGCUGCAACUUUAAAAUAGGUGUGAGGAACCCCACUGGUUUUACCCUCUCCUCCCAGCCACAAGCUAUUUAUAAGAAAAUAACUGAAAGGGGAAAGGGCUUUGAUGGCGUGCAAAAUGUACAUUGGCUGGCUUCUUCUUCUACAAGAAGUUCAGAUGUCUCAGUAGAUGGAUUUGUGUUCCUGACAAAUACGCAAACAGUGUGCAUGAAUUUUGCAUUUGCCAAAUAUGCACUUGCCUUUUGAAGGGUCUGGGCUGAGCGAUGGAGGUGGAGACGCUCCUUCAGGUCUACAUUAUUUGGGGUUGGAAGUCUUUUUGCUUUUUAGCACAGGGAGAGGUAAAAGGGUAUUGGACAGUUUUGUUGUUGUUUUUUAACCCAUUUUGAUACAAAACAUCAUUGGAGAAAAUGGUGAGAUUUGAGUGGAGUUACUAAGGAUUAAGUACAUGCCUCUGUUUCCAAGUGAAAUAGUUCUCUGUGCAUGUCUGUGAAGGUUGUAGAAUUGUGGGAGGGGCCCUUGCUACCUCGGAUUGGGUCCCCCACAGCUUCCCACUGGGAUUUUGUUGUUGUUUAGUCGUUUAGACGUGUCCGACUCUUCGUGACCCCCUGGACCAGAGCAUGCCAGGCACUCCUGUCUUCCAUUGCCUCCCGCAGUUUGGUCAAACUCAUGCUGGUAGCUUCGAGAACUCUGUCCAACCAUCUUGUCCUCUGUCGUCCCCUUCUCCUUGUGCCCUCCAUCUUUCCCAGCAUCAGGGUCUUUUCCAGGGAGUCUUCUCUUCUCAUGAGGUGGCCAAAGUAUUGGAGUCUCAGCUUCAGGAUCUGACCUUCCAGUGAGCACUCAGGACUGAUUUCCUUAAGAAUGGAUAGGUUUGAUUUUCUUGCAGUCCAUGGGACUCUCAAGAGUCUCCUCCAGCACCAUAAUUCAAAAGCAUCAAUUCUUCGGCAAUCAGCCUUCUUUAUGGUCCAGCUCUCACUUCCAUACAUCACUACUGGGAAAACCAUAGCUUUUACUAUACGGACCUUUGUUGUCAAGGUGAUGUCUCUGCUUUUUAAGAUGCUGUCUAGGUUUGUCAUUGCUUUUCUCCCAAGAAGCAGGUGUCUUUUAAUUUCGCGGCUGCUGUCACCAUCUGCAGUGAUCAUGGAGCCCAAGAAAGUAAAAUCUCUCACUGCCUCCAUUUCUUCCCCUUCUAUUUGCCAGGAGGUGAUGUGCCCAGUGGCCAUGAUCUUCAUUUUUUUGAUGUUGAGCUUCAAACCAUAUUUUGCGCUCUCCUCUUUCACCCUCAUUAAAAGGUUCUUUAAUUCCUCCUCACUUUCUGCCAUCAAUGUUGUGUCAUCUGCAUAUUUGAGGUUGUUGAUAUUUCUUCCGGCAAUCUUAAUUCCGGCUAGGGAUUCAUCCAGCCCAGCCACAACCCUCAACCAGUCUGAAAAAGUUUACUCAUUCCUGUGCAUAAAUAAGUAAACGUAAAUAAGUAACCAUAGCCAUUUGUCCCUGUGUGUGUGAUUCCACAUAUGUGGGGAAAAUUAAUCCAGUUCCAGAGAUAUAAACGUACAAGAUGGAUAGCUUUUAUCAUAGUUGCUUUUUGUGUCAAGGUAAAUGGUAGGAAAUGGGUGGACUGGGUUUACAAAAUCUUACGUGUCCCGAAUCCUGCAUGGGAUUGCAGCCUCAACCCUUUAUUUUCAGUGGAGUUGGUCACAGCAUAGGAUCAGGCUGUUAAUAUUUUGAAUACUUAUAACUUAACAUAGCUCAAGGGGAGAAUGCGUUUGACUGUUUCCGUGAGGGAUUCCUACAGGCUUCGAUUCUAUUGAAAAGACUUCGGCUUUUCCCAGUGUGCAACUAUCAUUUACUAUAAAAUAGUGGGGAGCCUCUGGCCUGCACAUGAUGCUGGGGACGUUAAAGCUGUGGCUGCGAAAGAACAGCCAGCAGCUUGCUUCUUAUUAUUAUCCAUCGUUGUUGUUAUAAUUAUUAACUGCAAGGCUUCUUAGUUGUUCCUUUGCAGUUGCAGCUUGAACCCAGUUGAAUGCUCUCCUCUUUGAAUUGUGUGCUGUUGAGGUUUUUAAAGCUGUUUUCCGCACGGAUCCCAUUCAUUUUGGCCCUCCCCAAGAUAUCUGAUUCCCACCAAAAGCAGAGAUAUUUCUAUAGUAGAAGGUUGAGUGUGUGUGUUUCAUGGCUAAGACUCAGCAGGAAGAAGAGGAGAUACUCUGCCUACAAUUAGAAGAGCUGAGCUACCUCUGUGAGUUCAGUUUUCAAACCUUGCAUUUCUUCAAAAUAUACUUCCAGGCUUCUCUCUUUCUCAACCUUAUUUUUUAUAUGUUUUCAUUGGAAUUGGAAGGUUAGCCGCUUUUUAAUCCAACGAGGUUACCAGCCCUUCUUUAGGGUAUAUGUUCUUCGCAGCACAAGUGUUUUGUCCAAUGUAACCCGAGGAAUUUUAAACCCAAGAAACAGUAAGAAAGUAUAGUACAGCCAUACCUUGGGUUGCGAACGUGAUCCUUGCGGGAGGCACUUUCGCAACCUGCAGCGCCGCGUCUGCACAUGCGCGUGUGUGUGAUGCAAUUUGGUGUUUUUGCGCAUGCGCGAGCGCCGAAACCCGGAAGUAACCUGUUCUGGUACUUCCGGGCUUGGCGCGGUCCGCAACCCAAACAUGCACAACCCACAGUGUUGACUGUACCUGCAACUAAAACACACCAUUUCUUGCUGUGUUCUCCCCUGAAUCCCCCAGAAAAAAAAGCACUGGUUUUGUAUCUUAAAUGACGUUGCUUCUGCCGAUGUCUGUGUAUUUCAGGGUGUGCCAAUCACCGACAAGGUCAGACAUUUAGAGCCUCUAAGGUGACUUUGUUCUCAGUUAAAUGUGCAUAUAUUCCUUAUGCGACCAAAUGUUUAAAAGUACUAAUGAGCUAGUCCUGCUGGUUAACGGCAAUUUUGCAAAGUAUUGCAUGCUAAAAAAAUUCCUUCAGCAACAUGUACUUCUUUUAUUCAUUCAUUCAAACAAACAAACAAACAAACCCAAAAUUUCAGCUUGUUAGCCAGAUAUUUGAAUUUUGUGUUUUUCAAAACCAUAUGAAGCUAUCCAUAAUUAUCAGAUAGCAGCACUAUUGCCAAAGUGUCUAAUUUACAUAUUUUUUGUAUUGACAAUUGUCUGAAAAUUCCCACUGGCUUUAAUAGGAAGCUGCACAGGGUCUUGCGUGCCAUUUCCCUCACUCCUCUUGCUGCUCUGCAUUAUAGCUAAGCCAGGAAUAUUGAGCUAAUAAGAACUAUGAAGCAGGUGCAUAUUUCUUACCUUUCAUCUUUCGGGUUGCCUGGAUUCCGUUUCUUGUCCAAGGCAUUUGAUAACUCUCUUACUUUUCUAAAUGCCAGCGUAUGUGAGAUCAGAAAGUAGCUAUGUGAAGCCAACUCGUGUCGAACUGGAAGAACAUUUAUUUUCGUUUAUUAAAACUUGUGCAUACUGCCUUUCCUCUUGUUAGAUCAGGAUGGCAUCUGACAUAAAAUCAAUACAAACAAACACAAAACAAUCGUAAAAGCCACAGGAGAGAAGUGAAACAGAUUGAGAUUUUCUCAAAUUUAAGUGUUUAAAUUCCUGGGUGGAGGAAAAAUGUUUUUGUCUAGCGCAGGGGUAGUUAAUCUCCAGCGGAUUAACUCCAAUGUUCAUCUGCCCGUCAGCCUAGCCAGUGGUCAGGAAUGAUGGGAGUUGUCAUAUGAUGUGGAGGGGCCCAGGGAAGCCAGCCCUGGUCUAGCGCUGACAUUUUCCCUUGGGGUGGCCAUUUUACAACCUGGGCACUGGAUCCAUUCAAGGGACAGCUUCUUCCCCUAAUGUGCAAUUGUGAACAAUUUAACCUUUCUGUGCCUAUGUUUUCCCAUUUGGAGAAUGGAAAUCCUGCCUAGCAGCUUAUUUGCAAAACAUAGUCUGAAGAUAUCUAAAUGACAAGUGCUAUGCAAGUGAUUAAUGGUUUCCUUAUUAUCACAAAUCCGAGUUUUAUUUUCGUAGAGUUGGAAGGGAACCCCAGGGUCAUCUAGUCCAACCCCCUGCAAUGCAGGAAUCUCAGCUAAAGCAUCCAUGACAGAUGGUCAUCCAACCUUAGUGAUUAUUGAUACUGAUGACGCUUUCAUAGUUCAGAUCUUUACCUAUGGGGUGGUGCAUCCUUCUUGCAGCAGGGAUAGCCUCCUCCCAUUGAGAGCGUCAACCUUAGUGCAUGGGUUGUGUGCCUUGCCCCCUGAGAGUUUAGCCAUUCCCUGACCCCUGGACCAGGCCAUGGGCACUGAGAUGCUCUGCAGGUGAGCCUAGCUGUCGUCUUCGUAUGCUGUAAAAAGACUCCGAUUUUUCAGUGUGUCAGCAAACUUGCCCAUGAAAUCUGUUGAGCAGAGAAUGUUGUAAGUUUGGGCUUUAUUUACUUGUAUUUGUUUUUAAGAAACAGUGAGUUUUUGUUUGUUUACAUACUGUUUACAAUGACACAGGUUUAUUUUUAAUAUAUACAACGGUUGAGAUAUUUAUUGCAUAUGCUAUUUGAAAGAUGUUUUAUGUGUUUUGCACCUUUGGGAUAUAUUGUUACAUUUCUGUAUUCAGAAUAUUUGGGUGGUUCUGUUAAUAGUAAUUUUAUGACUUCUAAGUGACCAGUUUUUUGUGCCUUUUUAUUACUGGAUGCAUGAUUGCCUAUUUAUUAUUGUAUGGAAGUCAUGGAGAUGUGUAUUUUUGUAUGCUGCUGGAUGCAAUGGUUGAUUUUAUUGUACAUUUAUGAGAUAUGCCUCCCUUAAAGGGCACUCAAUGGAUCUUCCUUCUGAAAUAAACCAAUACAUACAAUCUC